rnacentral:misc_RNA from 1 species
ACCAUUAUCAAUUUCCAAACUCUGAAAUUGAAGACCAUAUUUGCAGAAUGCUUAUUUAAAUUCCAUAGCUCACUUAAAAUUACAUGGGAAUGCUUCAAUCUACUGAGUUGCAAUAUCAGCAGAACAGCCUCAAACUACCAUUAAAAGGAUAAACAGUAGCCAAAGUUCCUCCAUUCAUUUGAUUGAUCGCAAACCAUGUUUAAUAUAGUACGGCCCAAUGGUAUAAAUUUACAGAACACAUUGUGACUGAGAUGUGAACUUAAAAUAUAAUUCUUAUUAGAUUUGAUCUUCAACUGCAAUCUUAACCCAACCUGAAGUCCUGAACACUCAGAACAUGCAUCUGGUGGCAAAAUUUCCAAACAAUUCUGCAAUCAUAUAAAUGAUUUCUAAGGUGAAUAAACAUAUGAAAAUAAUAUAUAAAAUGUAAGAUUACGAAAAAAACAGAGCAUCAUUUCUGAUGGUGAGUACCUUCCAGAUCACAUGCCUGGAGAUUAGACUUCAAUUUUGGGCAAAUGCUUUACUUUUUCUAGAAGAAACUCCUAAUUGUCAUUUUGUUUUCCCAGAAA